GAUCAGCAGCAGAAACAGGCAACCUCAUGGGAGUCCGAGUCCUCACUUCCCAGCCAGGCACACAGACAACUUCCAGUGCAGUUUCUACCACACCAGUGACCAGCACCCUGCCAGCAGAGGCACCCACCCACACUGUGAGCAGUUUGUGUGAGGUGGAGCUGAGGAGCAGCUACAAGCCAGAGUCGGGAGUUCCUCAGCCUGCUCUUCCCUCAUCAGUUCCCCUGCCUAUGCCAGGCAUGAAGAUUCACCUCCCAACAGCUCACACAGAUGCACAGUAUGGGAGGCUUUGGGUUUAAUUGGCUUCAUACCAUGCAAGGAGUUUUCUGAACACCACUUUGGAUUUUAAAAGCAGCUGCGCUGAUAUCUUCAAAUCUCAGAAACUCAUUCUUUGGUCUCACACUGGACUUCUGGACUUUUGGAACAACAAAUUCAACAGCAUCCUUCAAUGGUUCCUCCACAUUUCCUGCAGUUUUUAUUUCCCAUGUUGUUACGUCUCUGUUCAGGUAUUCCUCUUCUACAAAGUCCUUCAGUCUCUCAGGGUGGAUUGGAGGGACAUGUGGCCCAUUUUUGUCUCCUUGUCUUGGGCCAUUUUUUUGAGUCUGUGUCUUCAUUUUCCCUGAUGCAUUUUUCUUUUUGUCUUGACCUUCAUCCUUUCUACAAUCAAGCACACAUUAUAAAAAGUAUCUCGCAUUUCAGCACAUUGCCCAAUUUAUAGAUGUUUCAUUACAUGCAGGGAUAUAUAUAUAUAUAUAUAUAUAUAAAAGUAUUCAAUUGUCUUA